GUGAGGAAUAUUGCGCAAUGGAGGCAACUCUGACGCAGCCAUGCCGCGUGCAGGAAGAAGGCGCUACGCGUUGUAAACUGCUUUUAACCGGGAAGAAACCCCAGGACGUGUCCUGGGUUGACGGUACCGGAGGAAUAAGCACCGGCUAACUUCGUGCCAGCAGCCGCGGUAAUACGAAGGGUGCAAGCGUUAUCCGGAUUCAUUGGGUUUAAAGGGUGCGUAGGCGGAGCGUUAAGUCAGUGGUGAAAUCCUGCAGCUUAACUGUAGACUUGCCAUUGAUACUGGCGCUCUUGAGUGCGCUUGAAGUGGGCGGAAUGUGCCGUGUAGCGGUGAAAUGCUUAGAUAUGGCACAGAACACCAAUUGCGAAGGCAGCUCACUAAGGCGAUACUGACGCUGAGGUACGAAAGCGUGGGGAUCGAACAGGAUUAGAUACCCGAGUAGUCC
rnacentral:rRNA from 1 species